rnacentral:rRNA from 1 species
GUAGGUGGCAAGCGUUAUCCGGAAUUAUUGGGGCGUAAAGCGCUCGCAGGCGGUCGUUUUAAGUCUGAUGUGAAAGCCCACGGCUCAACCGUGGAGGGGUCAUUGGAAACUGGGAGACUUGAGUGCAGAAGAGGAGAGUGGAAUUCCACGUGUAGCGGUGAAAUGCGUAGAGAUGUGGAGGAACACCAGUGGCGAAGGCGACUCUCUGGUCUGUAACUGACGCUGAGGAGCGAAAGCGUGGGGAGCGAACAGGAUUAGAUACCCUGGUAGUCCACGCCGUAAACGAUGAGUGCUAAGUGUUAGAGGGUUUCCGCCCUUUAGUGCUGCAGCAAACGCAUUAAGCACUCCGCCUGGGGAGUACGGUCGCAAAGACUG